CCAAAGGGGCAUGCCAUUAGCUACGGCGAGAUGAGCGGCAAAAGCUCAAAUUUGAAAUCUGGCACCUUCGGUGUCCGAGUUGUAAUUUGAAGAAGGUAACUUUGGAGUCAGCUCUUGUCUAUGAUUCCUUGGAACAGGACGUCACAGAGGGUGAGAAUCCCGUGCGAUGAGAUGUCUGAUUCUAUGUAAAGUGCUUUCGAAGAGUCGAGUUGUUUGGGAAUGCAGCUCUAAGUGGGUGGUAAAUUCCAUCUAAAGCUAAAUAUUGGCGAGAGACCGAUAGCGAACAAGUACAGUGAUGGAAAGAUGAAAAGAACUUUGAAAAGAGAGUGAAAAAGUACGUGAAAUUGUUGAAAGGGAAGGGUUUGAGAUCAGACUUGGUAUUUUGUAUGUCUUGCUUUCGGGUGGGGCCUCUACAGUUUACUGGGCCAGCAUCGGUUUGGACGGUAGGAUAAUGACAUUGGAAUGUGGCACCACUUCGGUGGUGUGUUAUAGACUUUGUUGAUACUGCCUGUCUAGACCGAGGACUGCGUCUUUGACUAGGAUGCUGGCAUAAUGAUCUUAAACCGCCCGUCUGAAAAAAGGGAACAAAACAAAAAGAUUGAGGAGGGGGGAA
rnacentral:rRNA from 1 species